GGCCAGGCUGGGCUGGGCUGGGCAGCCACGGCACCGAGCACGUAGUGUCCCAGCUCCCCAGGAUGUCCCAGCACACACAGCCCGCAGAGAGGGACGGCACUCCCGGGACGCUGAGCGUAUAUCAAAAACAACAAGACAACAAAUAAAUACGAUGGCUGGCCUGAGCUGCUGGAGAUGGAGGGCUGUGCGCCCAGGAAGAUGGAUUAGCAUCAAGCCCCAGCCUGCCAUGAAGGGCAAUUUCCACCAGUCUCACAGAGACACCAGCCCCAUCGUGGGGUCUCCAACCACCUCACACCACCCCCAGCUCCCCAAGUGCUUGGUCACAGAGCCCAGCAGCAGCUCUCAGAAACCAGCCCCAUGUGUAGGGCUCAAAAGAGCUGUACAAGUGCUUUCAGAGCCUGAGGCUUCAGCCAAGCUGUCCUCAUCUAUGGGUCAAUUCAGGGUAGUUGGUUUUUUUUCCUCUUAUUAAACCAAACAUUUUAUAGAAA